AAAUAUCUGGGAUGUCCGACAACUCCUACAUAUUUUGAACCUACAUCUUAUUAUAGGGAACUUAAUAUCUUGAGAUAGAUGACAUGCCUCUUCGUGAGGACUUCAGAAGUCUCAUUGCAAGUACCCACCUAGCUUUAGCUAGGAGUCAAAAAGUAGGAGCCGGCAUCUUGGAUGUUUU
rnacentral:other from 1 species